rnacentral:rRNA from 1 species
UACGGGGGGCAAGCGGUUGUUCGGAAUUACUGGGCGUAAAGGGCUCGUAGGCGGCCAACUAAGUCAGACGUGAAAUCCCUCGGCUUAACCGGGGAACUGCAUCUGAUACUGGAUGGCUUGAGUUCGGGAGAGGAUGCGGAAUUCCAGGUGUAGGCGGUGAAAUGCGUAGAUAUCUGGAGACACCGGUGGCGAAGGCGGCAUCCUGGACCGACACGUGACGCUGGAGGCACGAAAGCGUGGGGAGCAAACAGG